UACCCGGAUAAUACAUUUCAAAAAACUUCUCUCUCUCUCUCUCCAUACAACCUCCAUUCUCUUCUCUUCUCGUCUCUCUUUCCCUCCUCUAAACCCUAGCCUGCCGCAUUUCUCACUUCUCAUCUUAUGAUUCAACUUGGUUUCAUUUUUAUACCUGGUUUUUAUUUUCCUCUCUCAUUUGAAAGCAAUAGUAAUUUUUACUCUUUCCUUUUUCAGACCCUGAACCUCCCUUCUCUCGCAUAAUUUUUUUGAGACUUCAAGAACAUAUCCAUUUCUUCAUCAAGAUCCAACAUCUUUCCAUUUUAUCUAAGAACAUUGAGACAGAUCCAAGACUAGGGUAGACACAUCUGCAGCUGUUAGGAUUCAUCAUCCAUGGUGAGUGUUUCUUUACUUCUUAUUUUUAUGGUUUAAGGAUUUGUCUCACUGACCAUGUUUUCUUCUUACACCUUCUUGAUGGAAGAAAACGAAAGAAAAUUAGAACCGACGAAGCUGUUUGAGCUGCCUCAUGAUUAUCCCACUUGUCUUUUGUAUUGUGCAUGUGUAUGUUCUUCUGGCUAGAGGUGACAAGAAUUCCAUCUUCCCAUCUGCUAUCUCAAUGGAUGGUCGAUCAUACAAUGAUUAGUUGUUCAACUCUGCUGCAGACAUCCUUUGUAGAAUUGGCGAGGAUAGAAGAAUUAUACAAGAAUUUAUUCAUCUUGGUGCAAAAGCCUAAAUUGAUGCUUCAGAGUCCAUGGAUGUCGAAGCUACUCUUGGAGAAAUACCAGAUGAAUUCUUGGAUCCAAUCCAAGUAUGCUUUAAACAUUUUAUUCUUUAUACGCGAACACGUCUAUGUUUGUGGUGAGAACCACCAAUGAUAUUAAUGUAGCCAUGAUUAGCUGCAUGUUUGUUUUUCAUUAUUUUUUAAGAAAAACGUGCUUUUGUUUUUGCAGAAGCUGUAAAUUAUUAG